GACGAACGCUGGCGGCGCGCCUAACACAUGCAAGUCGAACGAGCGAGAGAGAGCUUGCUUUCUCGAGCGAGUGGCGAACGGGUGAGUAACGCGUGAGGAACCUGCCUCAAAGAGGGGGACAACAGUUGGAAACGACUGCUAAUACCGCAUAAGCCCACGGUGCCGCUUGGCACAGAGGGAAAAGGAGCAAUCCGCUUUGAGAUGGCCUCGCGUCCGAUUAGCUAGUUGGUGAGGUAAUGGCCCACCAAGGCGACGAUCGGUAGCCGGACUGAGAGGUUGAACGGCCACAUUGGGACUGAGACACGGCCCAGACUCCUACGGGAGGCAGCAGUGGGGAAUAUUGCACAAUGGGGGAAACCCUGAUGCAGCGACGCCGCGUGGAGGAAGAAGGUCUUCGGAUUGUAAACUCCUGUUGUUGGGGAAGAUAAUGACGGUACCCAACAAGGAAGUGACGGCUAACUACGUG
rnacentral:rRNA from 1 species